rnacentral:tRNA from 1 species
UGGUGUGUUGGCUCAGUAGGUAGAGCGUCCGUCUCACAAGCGGGAGGUUGCGGGUUCAAACCCCGACCGCGUCAG